rnacentral:snoRNA from 1 species
UGCACGCUCCUUAGAUCCAUUUCGCCUUUAAUGCGAAGUGCUUGAGUCAUAAGUGUGCUACAGUAUAGUACCUCCAUACCAAGACUGUAAUGUGAUCUAUCAUUAUGAUCUUCCACUUGUCUUGGAAUGGGGAACAU